UAAUUUUGAGGCAGUUUGGUCCAAAAUAUUUUUGUUUGGGGUUUUUCCUCGUUUGGGGGUUUCAUUUUCUUUUCUCCUUCAUUGUGGCUCCGGGAGCGUCUCGUGUGUGGCGUCUGACCAAUUUUGAAUUGGUCGUUUCUAUAAAAUCAAUAUUUAUAACGCUGUGCCCAGCCUGGCGUGUGUGAUGUUAAGAAGGGAGGUAACGGAGAGACCCAUAGGUCUGCUUAGCAGAGUGGACUGGAAAGGGAGAAGGCACCCAUCCCUAGCCGAAUCCCUAAGCCUCAGAAAGACUUAGUUGUUUUAAAUGUCUCACAACAGUGGUAGCUUCAACAGGGUCAUUUUUUAUUUCUCUCAAGAACCCAUCCCUGGGGGCCCUCAUCUCUGUGGUCUGUGACUGCAAGGGAGUCCUCCUGUGACAGAAAGGGAAGUCCCUUGGUGGCAGAGGAGCUCCACACACUGUGAAUACCUCUCAUCCAUCAGAACUCAGAUGUGCGCUGUCAUGCUCAGCUUAUGUGGAGGGUGAGGUUUGGAUUUCAGAUCUUCAUGCUUGCAUGCAGCCACUCCACUACUGAACUGUCUCCACAGCCUCUCAUUUUUAUAUACAUGAGACACGCUGGGGGCAGGUGCCAGGCAGUGGUGGCCCACGACUUUCGUCCCAGCAUUUGGAAGGCAGAGGCAGGCAGAUCUCUGAGUUCAUAUCCUUUUGUGCGUGUGAUGUAUGAGUAGCACAGGUGCACAUGUGGGACUGCACGUGUGUAUAGGUCUCUUCCCACAGUAGGUUCCAGGAAUCAAACUAAAAUCAUCAGGCUUAGGCAACAGCAUUUCUAUCCACUGAAACUUUUUCACAGACCCAAAAAAUUCGUUUCCUAUCCCAUAUACAAAUAACCAGAUGGUGAGUGUGUGUGUGUGUGUGUGUGUGUGUGUGUGUGUCGCUGAGAAUGGAACCCAGAGCCACACGUGCUAGGCAACCGCUCUACCACUGAGCCAUGCCCCCAGCCCCUCACUGAGGGAUUCUAGGCACUGAGCUACAUUUUCAGCCCACUUUAGAUAGGGCCUCACUAAAUUGCCAAGCAGGUUUGGAAUUCAUUCUAUCCCAGGCAGGCCUUGAACUUAAUGAGCAAAGAUGAACAGACCUGUGUCAUCAUUCCUGGCUCUUCUGUGAGUUAUGGCUCAGGUUCCCAGGAACUGUGCUGAAGUUGACUAGAACUAGUGGACUCCCUCAUUAUUAGCACUUCAUCUUACUUAGAUGGAUGGUUUUGCACACACUAAGCAAAUCCUAGGUGACCGACUGGGCUCAUCCUGGUUCCCACCACCUGUGGUUUUCCUGGAGUGUGUUUCCUAAGCAACUGUGCAUUCACCAAACUGGCCUUAAGAGUAAGUUGGUCUAAUUGAGACAGGAUUCAUUGUGUAACCCUGGCUGUCCCCGAAAUCUACUUGCUUCUGUCUCUCGGGUACUGAGAUUGAAGGUGCAGUCAUGACCCACUAUGAUGUGAUGAUGCCCUGUUGGUACUGUAGUAGGUUUGGGGUGAAUCUUGGAAGCCUGUUUUAUUUUCAUUUUAUUUUUUUAUUUUUGGUUGGUUAGAAGGGAUAUUUUUGGUUUUUAAUUUUUUGGUUUUGUUUUAGCUUUUUGAAGCAGGGUUUCUGUGUUGGCCCUGGCUGUCCUGAAACUUACUCUGUAGACCAGGCUGGCAUGGAACUCAGAGAUCCACCUGCCUCUACUGCCUGAGUGCUGGGAUUAAAAGCGUGCGCCACCACCACCCAGCUAGGGAGCCUGGCUUGUUUUUGUUUGUUUGUUGGGCUUGAGAACCUCUGGCUGGCUAUGGCAAGGUAUAAACCUGUUAUCCCAGCACUCAGGACUGAGUAGGAAGAUUCUGAGCUUGUGGCUAAUCUGGACACCAUAACUCCAGAGAAGUCAGGGCUAUAUAGACCUCAUUUGGAGAGAUGGCUCAGUGGUUAAGAGCAAUGGCUACCCUUCCAGAGGAUCCAGGUUCAAUUCCCAGUGUCUGUAUAUGGCAGUACACACGUGGCUUUAAUGCCAGUUCUAGAGGAUCUAACACUCUCACAAAACACAACUGCACAUG
rnacentral:lncRNA from 1 species